AUCAUCAUAAGUUGAGGACUACAUGUAUAUAUGUAAAAUUAUUGUACAAUAUGUAAAGUAUAUAUUACAUAUAUACACUUUACAUAUUGCACAUAGCAUUUUGUAUAUUAAAAUGCAAUACAAUUUCUGUAUGCAAUGUAUGUAUGCAUAUGACAUGAUCAUAUGCAUACAAACAUUGAAUACAGAAAUCAUGUGUCAGGCUUACGCAAAAUUUUAUAUGGCGAUCAAACAGUCCAGUUUGCAAGAUGAUUAAAUGGUAAAAUCAGUUCUUACCACUUUGACAGAUCCAGAUUUAAAUGUGGGUCCAAGCACUUUCAGAUUUUCAGGAGUGGUUGUCUUUAUUGGUCCAGCUCAUUGAGUCCUCAUCAUGAGUGUUACCAGCCUGUGUUGGGCCAUAAAAGUAAUCACCAUCACAUAAUGAUAUCCUAUGUGCAGUAUAAUUACUUAACACAUUGAUAUUAUAGGAAUUUUGGGAUUAGAUUGGAUUGAUAACAUGAUCUUUUGUUUUCUAUACGAAAUCCAAAAAAUAAUAAAAUGCAAAAUUUUAAAUUUUUCAGUAGGAACCACUCCCAUCAAUAAUAUUUCAAUUUCUCUUCUUUUAAAGAAAAUUUGUUUUGAGGUGGGCCAAAAUAAUUUUGAAAAAUGACUUGAAAUUAGUGAAUUUUGGGAAAAAGUUUUAAAAAUAUUUUCGUCCAAAAAUUCCAAUUUU
rnacentral:lncRNA from 1 species